rnacentral:lncRNA from 1 species
UUUAUUUAGUGUGAUUUUUAUUUUUUAAGAAAAAGUUAAUGUAAUUGUUCGUUAAUUAGUUCAACGUCAAUAUAUCGGAACGAAUCACAUUUAAUUUUUUUUAAAUAAUAUAAGAAUUACGUAAAAAAUAAAUAAACAAAAUCUAUUAUAGGCUAUUUUUAAUGUAAUAUUUGUUUUACAGAGUGUUUCUUUUCUUUUAUUUUCUGUUAACACUCCC